rnacentral:rRNA from 1 species
AUUGAACGCUGGCGGCAGGCCUAACACAUGCAAGUCGAACGAGUGGCGGACGGGUGAGUAAUGUCUGGGAAACUGCCUGAGGGAGGGGGAUAACUACUGGAAACGGUAGCUAAUACCGCAUACCAUCAGAUGUGCCCAGGUGGGAUUAGCUUGGUGGUGGGGUAACGGCUCAACAAGGCGACGAUCCCUAGCUGGUAUGAGAGGAUGACCAUCCACACUGGGACUGAGACACGGUCCAGACUCCUACGGGCGGCAGCAGGGGGGAAUCUUGCACAAUGGGCGCAAGCCUGAUGCAGCCAUGCCGCGUGUAUGAUGAAGGUCUUCGGGUUCUAAAGUACUUUCAGCGGUGAGGCGUUACCCGCAGAAGAAGCACCGGCUAACUCCGUGCCAGCAGCCGCGGUAAUAC